rnacentral:rRNA from 1 species
CAUGCCGCGUGCAGGAUGACGGUCCUAUGGAUUGUAAACUGCUUUUGUACAGGAAGAAACACCUCUACGUGUAGAGACUUGACGGUACUGUAAGAAUAAGGAUCGGCUAACUCCGUGCCAGCAGCCGCGGUAAUACGGAGGAUCCAAGCGCUAUCCGGAAUCAUUGGGUUUAAAGGGUCCGUAGGCGGUCUUAUAAGUCAGUGGUGAAAUCUCCCCGCUCAACGGGGAAACGGCCAUUGAUACUGUAAGACUUGAAUUAUUAGGAAGUAACUAGAAUAUGUAGUGUAGCGGUGAAAUGCUUAGAGAUUACAUGGGAUACCAAUUGCGAAGGCAGGUUACUACUAAUGGAUUGACGCUGAUGGACGAAAGCGUGGGUAGCGAACAGGAUUAGAUACCCUGGUAGUCCACGCCGUAAACGAUGGAUACUAGCUGUUGGGCGCAAGUUCAGUGGCUAAGCGAAAGUGAUAAGUAUCCCACCUGGGGAGUACGUUCGCAAGAAUGAAACUCAAAGGAAUUGACGGGGGCCCGCACAAGCGGUGGAGCAUGUGGUUUAAUUCGAUGAUACGCGAGGAACCUUACCAAGGCUUAAAUGUAGAUUGACCGGUUUGGAAACAGACUUUUCGCAAGACAAUUUACUAGGUGCUGCAUGGUUGUCGUCAGCUCGUGCCGUGAGGUGUCAGGUUAAGUCCUAUAACGAGCGCAACCCCUGUUGUUAGUUGCCAGCGAGUCAUGUCGGGAACUCUAACGAGACUGCCAGUGCAAACUGAGAGGAAGGUGGGGAUGACGUCAAAUCAUCACGGCCCUUACGCCUUGGGCUACACACGUGCUACAAUGGCCGGUACAGAGAGCAGCCACUGGGUGACCAGGAGCGAAUCUACAAAACCGGUCACAGUUCGGAUCGGAGUCUGCAACUCGACUCCCGUGAAGCUGGAAUCGCUAGUAAUCGGAUAUCAGCCAUGA